CCUACGGGAGGCAGCAGUAGGGAAUAUUGCUCAAUGGGGGAAACCCUGAAGCAGCAACGCCGCGUGGGGGAAUGAAGGUCUUCGGAUUGUAAACCCCUGUCAUGUGGGAGCAAAUUAAAAAGAUAGUACCACAAGAGGAAGAGACGGCUAACUCUGUGCCAGCAGCCGCGGUAAUACAGAGGUCUCAAGCGUUGUUCGGAAUCACUGGGCGUAAAGCGUGCGUAGGCUGUUUCGUAAGUCUUGUGUGAAAGGCGCGGGCUCAACCCGCGGACGGCACAUGAUACUGCGAGACUAGAGUAAAGGAGGGGGAACCGGAAUUCUCGGUGUAGCAGUGAAAUGCGUAGAUAUCGAGAGGAACACUCGUGGCGAAGGCGGGUUCCUGGACAUUAACUGACGCUGAGGCACGAAGGCCAGGGGAGCGAAAGGGAUUAGAUACCCCAGUAGUC
rnacentral:rRNA from 1 species